UCUACUUCUGGGUAUUUAUCUGAAGAAAUUCCAAAGCGCUCCUUUGAGACGUUACACGCACCCCUAUGUUCAUUACCGCGACCUUUACAAUAGCCAACACGCAGAAACAGCCCAAGUGCCCAUCGUUAGACGAGUGGGUAAAAAGCCCGUGGGACACGCACGCCACGGCCUGUGGCUCUCCCAGGAACAAGAAGGGAAUGACGCCCGUGGGACAGCAUGGCAGGCCCAGAGGGCACUGCGCUGAGUGAAAUAAGGCGGCUCCUCUUACCUGUUCUGCUAAACCCGCUCUGACCCGCUCCUGUCCCCCCAGACAGCCGGGUCAUCUUCUUCACCGCCUUCAGCUGCCUCGCCAUCUUCCUCCUCUUCCCCUCGGUCAUCCUCAUCUACAGGCGCAGUCAGCCCGGCUCAUCCCAUGAAGAGUCCGCCAAGAGAACUAGACAUUCCUUUUUUCCCGAGCAGGAGGCCUCAGAUCUGCCCAAGCAGGAAAGGGCAUCGCUCUCGCUCUCGAUUGAAGACCGCCAGGAAGGGACCGGUGCUGAUGGAAACAGCAAGACACCGUCCGAGGCAGCGGCAGCCUCUGUCCCGGCCGAGGAGGCCCCGGGACCUGGUGACUGUGCCACGUUGAACGUGUAGGAGGCUGGCCAGAGCCUGGAGAAAGGACUUCUCCCCUGGGGAGGACGGGCUUUGGGUGCAGGUGGCUGAGACGUCUGGACAGAAAUCCACACCACUCUGUCCUCGGAACAUAAUCCGUACUAAUAAAAUUAAGUUUUUGG